UGAUGUUUAGCAUACAUAUAACCGCAAGAACCUAAUGUACACAGCUGCUUCACAAAGUCCUACUUGGUGAGACUAAAAAGACUGCCACGGGAACUAGCUACAACCUGGGACAAAGUUAAAAUGUCUGUUAUGGUCUGCAUUGGUAUCUUAGCAAUCAGGCUCUGUAACCUAAGGACAAACAGACGCCUAGCUCAAGCAAGAAGCUCAACUCCUAACUCUUCCUCUGUCGCUAAGGGAUAAACUCUCAUGUCUCCAUACAAACAUGCAAGCUUUUAAUUGCCCAAACUGUAUGAUACCACCAGUUCAGGGAUUAAAAAGGAGCCCAUGCACUGGUGGCUACUCAGCACUGAACUUCUCUAUGACAUCGCAGAAUUUAUUUCGCUAUUACUACCCGAAGAUAAUCACCGAGGAGUAGUUACACACACCUUUAUUACUUACGCCCCCCAAGGAGAAGCCACCCCUGCCCUAGUCACAAUUUGCCAAGCAGACAAUACAGAACAUGUAAGGAGUAAGCACAGAAACAUCGCUGCUUUAGCAGAGGAAAACAGCUCCUGUUCUGCUCCAUGGAGAGAGGUACAAACACAAAGCAGCCACAUCACAUGCAGGCAGCCACCGCUACAAGGCUUCAAACAGCUGGAUUCAAUCGAUACUGUAAGAGAGCCCGAGACACUGCCUGGCAAACUGCAUCUCCUCCCUGCCUCAUGCCCGUGCUGCAGAACCUCCUCCGAGCAAAUGUAGCCUCCUCCCUCUGGCUGCCUAACGCCACCACCGAGGCAGCUGUACUGAGGAAACAGCAUCUUAAGAAAACCUCGGGUAGUGUGCAAGUCAAAAUGGCACUGUAACUCAGGGCAAGGCAAAGCACCACCUUUAUUUUCCUGGUUUAUUCCUCAUGACAUGGAUGACAGUUCAUUUCAACUUCAAACACUCGACGCAAAGAGAUCCAUCAGACAACUGAAGGUGACUAGCUCAAGAACACCAACUGCUAAAAAUAUUUUAGGCUUUUUCUUGCAUACAAUUUAUCAUAAUAUCACCUAACAAUGAAAACAUACAUUUUUCACAUCAAAACCUGAAGCACCAGGUUUGGACAUGACUCCUUUAAGGCUGAAUAUUUGCUCUCAAGGUGGAUCUAGGAAGCUGUGAAAGCACCUAGGAGCCAGAGCAGGCGUAACUAGAAAUGGCCAGCCGAAGAUUCUUUCCUGAACUGCAGUCAGCUACCAAGUAUUAUAGUGCAAUACCCAAAUCAGGUGUGUAGUUUGCAAUAUAUAAAGUGACAAUGUGUUAAUAGAAACACUUCUUCCACCUUUAUCCUUUGAAAUGCACAAAAAGACCACAGCAGGCCAAGCUGAACCCAAGAAUCACAGAGAUUCCAAGUGUGCAAAUCAAAAGCUAGUGCCUGGGCUACGUAGUGCUGUCUUCAUGCAUCUUCUUUUCAUAAAGAAGUUAUUUCUAUUCCUUUUGAAGGAACCUGGAAAGCUGAAAGUAAGAUAUAAAAGCAAUGCUGAAAGACUACAAACCAUGAAUGACAAUCAAAGUCACGGGGCACAGCCACUCUAGGAGCUGUCUCCUUCCAAACUAUAAAUAACAUUUUCCUUUAAGUCUGUUGCACACAUCUUCUGAUCACUGGAGGCUCAUUCCAACCAUACAAGCUUUUAUAGGUAAAUUCAGUACAAAGGUCUGAUGGGGAGAAGUCGCUGUGUUAUAUUACAGCAUGUUAAUUUGAACUACGUGAAAUAAAGGCAAGGUGCAAUUUUAAUUCCACGCAACAGAGAACUCCAAAUACAAGAGAUAGACGUGAGGAGUGGUCAAGGAAAUCCAGAAACUGGCUGGCAAGCACAGUAAAGAAAGAAUGUGGCAACAAAGCAAAGUCUGAAGACAGAAAUGCAGCUAGAAAUUAGCAUUCAAGCUUUCACUUCAAAAUCAUCUGGAUUUUUUGGACAUAACACAAGAACACAAUAGACGCCUUUAAGUUAUCUAAGUACAAUCACGUCUAGCCUCCAGGACAAAGCUCAGCACAGACAAACUUACCCUGCCUCUCAGGCCCUACAAGUCUUAUGCCACCACUUUCCCUGUGGCAAAAGCCUUCUACCCCUCCAUCAAUUACAAAGACUUUUUUCCUCGCCUAAUAAUAGGAGACAGAUUAAAAAAAAGACCAACCUAGACAACAAAUCUUUCUCAAUAGCUCAACUUCUUCAGAUUAUAUGGCAUAGAGAUGGAAGAAAAAAAAAGAAGUAUAUUGUAGUGACCUCCAAAAUAGCUAAGGGAGAUCCUGGAAAGCAUCAGCACCACUCAAAGAACUUUGCCAUAGUUCUCCUCUCAUCUUCACUCACGUUUCCUUCUGUGUAGGAAGUUUCCACUAGCACAAACACGGAGAUAACAUUACAAAUUCACCCGUUCAGCCUACGUUGCUUGUGAAGGCUGGAGAUGCCAGCCUCGGUGACUGCAGAAUUUUCACAUUAGUCCUCCCACUAUUGCCGCGUGUAUAAAGGUAAAGCUAUAGAUACCACAAAUUGCGCAUUUUCAAGCAGGUUGAUGCAAAACCUCUGCUACAGAAAGAACAUUAACCUGCAGAAAAAACAACACUGGUGAUUUCACAACCCAAACAGAAAUAGCUUUACAGAGCCAGAAGUAGUUACAGAGGACCCCCAAAGGUUUCAGUAACAGCAGGGACUCUCAGACGUGCGACUCCUAUUAUGUUCAGUAAUUUUUAUGGUGCUUAAGUAAAUGCUAAUUCUUACAAACUUCCUAAUGCAAGGAUUAUUGUUCAGCUGUCAACAUUUCAACAUUGUGGUGAACGCACUGUCUCAUUUCAGUACUUGAUCAAAAUGGAGUGCAAACAAAAAAAAGAUUGCUAUCGCAGCCUAGGCUGCACAGCUUGGCUUGUGCACGCAGAGAGCAGAAUGCUACAGGAUUCACAAGAACAGUUUGGGAAAAAGAGGAAGGGGAGUGUUGUUUUUCCCUAACAGACUAAGGGUUAGUUUACAGUGACUAAAGACCAGGACCAGCAGUCUUUUAUAACUAGCUGUAGUGCUCAGGAUGUUAUCACGGAAACAGAAGACAAAAACAUCCUUCCUUAAUCUCAAACUCUAGCCACACUUAACUUGGAAGCAGUGAAGAACACGGCAUUUUGUCAGUUUUUUGUUGUGCCAUGUGGAUUAGUUUACCCAGGUAGAGCGGGGAUGAUCACCUGUUUGCAAAUGAGCAUCUUUCCUCAUUGAAUUUUAUUUAAAAAGUAAACAGAUGAGCACUGUUUGAUUUAGCUAUUAGCAGGGUCCCAGGAGAGGAACCCCCAGUGAAGCACACAAGCUGAAGAACAGGCAAUGCUCUGAAGCCUAGAGAGCUCGGGCAUCCUCUGCUCCUUCAGUGAUGAAAGAAAACAGACUUGAAUUCUGAGUAAAAUCCUGCUAUAUUUGCAAAAUGUUCAAAAUCCGCCCCCCCAAAAUAAACCAAAUGCAUAUAUGGCCAUCUGUACAUAAAGAACAGAAUAUACAUUGCCUUAAGCAUCCAAAUAAAUCCUCGAUUUUGAGAAGAAAACUGCUUUUAUGUAGUGGCCAGAAUAAGGUCUCCUAGUUUCUAUUCCUGGAUCUGCUGCAAAUACAAAUGCUCUAAGUGCCAGGCCCUCUUAAAAGAGGGGCUGUUUCCAGCUAUCCCUUCAAAUUUAGCAGCAUGGAUACCAGGCACACAACACGUCUGUUAUCACAGGCUCCUGACUAUUUACACAAGUACAACCAACUACAACUUUUCAGGAUUUUAAUGAAAUCAUAAGGCUUUUGUAAGAAAUCUUGGCACAGCCUCUGAGGGAUGAAGGUCAAAAGUCACUCUGCCAGUAAAUAAUAAUAAAAAAGCUGUCAAGCAUUCCAGUGCGCGCGUUGCAGUUGCUUUCAGACUUCACAAAGACACACUGCAGAAAUACCAGCAGUGGUCUUUUUGUAGUUUGCAAGCAUAUCGAAAUCAUACAUUUCGCAUUUACGCAACUUCUCUUCAGUAAUCACGCUGCUCUGGUGUAACUCCUGACUUCAUGGCGUGUGCGUAUCAACCAGAAUUGAAAAAGGUAACAAAGAACAAGCAAUCAUAAUGUGCUCGCCGUUCCAGCUGCGCCUGCCCUUUCAUGGCUUUACCACACAAAUGCAGCAGGUCACACAGUAAGUUUGAAAGAUAUCCUGAGAAAGUACAUGUGUACAGCAGUCCCAGGUCAGACUAGAUUCAGUUCGUCAAAUUCAUUUGCUUUGCGUAACAAUUUUACCUGCAUACGAUACAGUUUCUAUUUGCACGUCUCCUAUUUUGUCCUAGUAUCUCUUACCAAAAUGUACAAUCAGAGAAUUUAUUCUUCACCAUCUCUAAGGAAGUAGAAACACCUAUAACCGCAACAGGAACAAUUCCUCUGUGAAUACCCACAACACAACUAGGACCAACCUUGCAAUUUGUCCCACACGUUGCCUUUAACACACUACAGCAGCCACACGACUAAAACAUCCACUACAGGACAAGAAACGGAUCGCAUUUCACUGAAGAACAGUGUAUUGCAACAGCUAAAACCAGCCCUUAAUCAUCUCAUGCUUGGUACCUCUAAUUCUCUACAGAUAUAAAAUCCCCCAAACUCCUCCACCCAGAGUGAAAGAUGAAAAAUGUGGGGAUGAAGACAGCCUUGCUUUCUAUUCCAAACAGAGUAUGUGUACCAUCGCCUCGGAUAUAUUUCAUUGUCCAAGAAACCACGAAGUCCAACACUCCACAUCUGUACCAGUGGUCCUAAUCAAGCCCUUCUAGCACACAAACUCAAGGCACUUACUGACUACUUUUAACCAGAUGGGAUUAGUUAUUUCUUGAGCAGUAUCAAGCAAUUGAUCCCUGUAAGAGGUGCCCUAUUACAUCAGUUCUACUGUUUGUACACAAUGGAGUUGCUAUGAUACACAGGUAGUCACAGGUUAAAGCCUAAAAGGAUGCACUGCAGAAGAUGAACAGCUUACAAACAGCUGGGUAACGCAAACCUUCCCAGCACGUGCCUGCAGACAAUCCAAGUUGGAUAACGCUCAGCCCAUUUUGCAACCCUCAAAAAUACCACACCACGUAAGGCAACUCUGCCUCAGUGCUGGAAAAGCUGGUCAGGAGGGAACAAGAGGAAUAGGCAGAACAACCUGGACACUAUCAGUCUUGGCUCAGAAGUUUAGGAUGUGGGACUAGAAGGCAGUUUUACAGUUGUCCUGCAGACUCUAAAUCAGACAGCAGUGCUUCAUGGCCAAGGCCUUACAUGCACUGAGUGGAAUAAUCUGCAUGUUGAAGUAGUAUUACUCCUUUAUCUGUACAUCUCAUUGUGAGUUUUGCUUGUCUUAAGAGCAUGACCUCACCUUGAUUUCAAUCAGUUUUCCACUGUAUUGCUUGGGGUAUUUUCAGAGGAACUGAUACCUUGCUAGUUAUUCCCCAUCCUGUGUUGGUGCAGUUGAUUAUUUCUGCCCACGCACGUGGCAGUACAUUAAUCCUUGCUGUACAUCUUCCUGUUUUUUUUAAUGUACUUCUUCAAACCGUCAAGAACAUUUUAAAUUCUAUCUUCCACAUACAUAAGCCCAACUCAACUAAUCAUUGCCACAAAUAUUAUAAGCAUGCUCUAUUUCAACAUUCAUCUUAUGAAUACAGUAUUAUCAUACUCAAUAUUGCAGAAAGAUACUCAGAGCCUUCAAGUGUGACAGCGAAGCACCGCUACUUAAGCUAGAUUGUGGUUUUCUAAAUAUUUUUACAAUCCUUCCCAUAACAACUCUCAGGUCUCCCUGGUUGCUUAUAAAACAGGCUGUCAAUGUCAGUUGACUACUAGACUUGGUAUUCAAGGAUGCAUGGGUGCUUGGACGUUUAAGUGACAACAACAUGCCCCCAAUGACAUUAGGGAAACUACAGCCUUGAAGUACUUCACUGAAAAUUUGGAAAAAAAUAAAGAAAAAAAUGCACAUGCCUCGCACAAGCAGACUACUGGGUGGGAAGCAAGACAGAUACCAGCGCUUCAACUGUCUGCUACAAAAAAAUCCAGAAGGAAAAAAUGGAAAGGUUGCCCAAAACAGCUACCGAGAAGCAACUGAAUUUCGGUGGGAAAGAAAAUGAGAAACACUACCUGCUACAUUUUAAAGCACACUAAGAGAAGAUACAAGCAAUAAAGGCCUUAAAGAAAAGUUUCAAGAGUGAUCAAAACAGACUUUUUUGUUUUAAGGAAGUAAAUCAACUUGAUCUGCAGCUUCUCUAGCUGGCUUUUCCAGUGAAAAUGCAAUCACAAGUACAGAAGCAGAAGGUCUAGUAAGCUUCUGAAGAUCAAGACAAGAGGUGAAUUCCUGUUAACUAGACUACCAGCAACAUUACCAGGAAAAGAAGUCUUCCAGUGUAAUUUUAUCUUGUAAAAUAUAUGCCGUACUAAAGAAAAAACUAAGAUUAUCUAAAUGCAUGGGUUUGUUUAAACUGGUUUAUUAUAUGGUAUGUAUUCAAAAGCAUAAGAUUUUACAGUGUGGACAAGUUAACAGAGCAAUAAAAUCCUUAAAUUUUACUGCAUCUGUUUUUAAAAUGUAAAGGCUUAGGAUUCUACUAGCAUGGAUUUUGGCAUUUAAUAUAGAUUGCUUAAUAUUUUAUAGCAUUGCAAAGUUUAAAGAAUGUGAAACAGUCUUACUCAGCUCUUUGCCAGAAAGAUAUCAGGAAUAAGCAAUAUUUGACAAUUAAUUAUCUAUAGAACAAAGUCGCCCAGGUCAAGAACACCUAAUAUCUUGUAUUAAAAAAAGACUUCAAAAGUAAUGCAACAUUUUAGUUACUCUGAUAUUUCUGAACUUUAUGUUUUGCAUCUCUUAUUGCUGGCCCUCAGAAAUAUAUUUAAGUUACACCUUGAGAGGCGGAACCAAACAGAGCUAUAAGUCAAAAUCUAGAUGAGCUAAGCCUGCAUCCAUGAAGGAGGAUGCCUGCAGUCAUCUCUCUCAAAACAGCAGAGAAAUUUUUAACACUGAUACUGCAUGCAUAUCUCGACCUCAGUAUUAACAAUCUUGCUAGUUAAUUCACGCUUCCAAGCACGAAUUCCCACCCAAGUAGGAACUCCGAGUCUAUGCUACCAGUUUGUAGAGGCUACAUGCCUGGCAGCAGCACGGAGAGUUGGUUUAUGCACUCACUGCCGUGUGGCUGCACCCUCCCACACGCACCCCAUGCAGUGGUAACAGGCACUUGUGUAGCUGAAGAGACUGGGGAACUGAUCUGACUGCAAAACAGCUUAGGGAGGCGGUGUUUGACAGCUGGACGACUCACCUGUCUCAGUUGACUGGUCGGCUACACAGACACCUACACCAGCAAGCGCAGGGUACGAGUCUGGAACUGAAGCAAGCGGCUGAGAAGGAAAGGAGGGGAUAUAGGGUAGGACUGCUUGAGCAGUGAAGGAAGGACUCUUCAUUCCAGUUUCAAAACACAUAAAAAAGCCUGUUCUACAGUUCUUGCAACAAACAACCAAAAAACUUACAUAUGCAAGGCUUAAUAGUCCCACUUGCUUCAAGCUUUAUCUAGGCAGAGUUAAGCAGAGAAGGAAGAGCAGACAUGAGGUGGACAGGAGUUCAGGAAGGAGCACGCGCAUGGUCCUGCAGAGGCACAACAGACUCAACUGACUGUGAGUGGGAGGAAGGGAAAUAGGGAAGCACAAGUGAGGGACUCAGCUGAGGCUUACAAAGACAUUUGUCUUCUGAUAAUAGGCUCAUUUGGGUAAGUGCUCUGGCAGCUGCUGUCUUUUUUUUUUUUUUUCCUUCUCUUCCACCCCCCCAAGCUGUACACAAAUGGAAGGAAGCUGGGGCCUUUAAUGGAUAAAAUGGGAAGAAAAGUUACUUUCAGGUCAGGCAGCCAGGCUAAGCUAAGCCUCAUACUGAUCUUGCUGAGAGAUGAAGAUUUACGCAGCACAGACAGCUAAACCAGACUUCAUGCACGGAAAUAGCUAUCACGUUCAGGGACACUUGCAAGAAACACUGGUGAGCUGAUCAAGCUUUCCCCCCUGCUCCAUACUUUUGAUAUGACAGCUGUUAGUCCUUCUGACAAGUUUAAUUCUUUAAGGGUUACAUCACUGACAUGCACAGUGAAAGUCCCUUCCACCCAACUACACGCUGUGAAACUGCACACAUGGGAAAGAGUGGGGAUUUGUGACUAGAUGUUUAAAAAUCAGGUGUUAAUACCAAUGCACAAACCCCAAACCUGACUGAGAUAGCAUACUGUAAUCGACACUCGCUUGACAUCUUUUCCACAGCAACUGAACUAUCACCAUUUGUUGCACAUCUAAGACACACACGUACUUCCUGCCACUCCCUAGAGCUUAUUCUGCAAUUUGCAUCUGAAAGUACAGAAAAAAGUCCACUGCCUUGAGCCAGCUGCCCCAGGUGUCAUCACUGUUCAGCUCAGCCCCCAGGUGCAAGGGCUGAUCCUUUGGGCCACUGAAGCUGAAGUCUGCCAUUUCCUGGAGCACUACAACUGAUUGACAGCAGCAAUCUAAGAAUAACGUUAUCACCAUCUAUCUGAACUGCAUUUUCCCCAACUUCAAAAUGCAUCUAGAACUCCCCACCCGUGCUUUUCGAUCUCUUUCCUACUUAAAGUGAAGAAAACGGUGCUGAAAUAGCAUUUUGAGAUGAAAACUGAAAAUUACUUCCAAGAAGUCUGCAUACGAUACGAUUUUCUGAGCAAUCACUGCAAAGCAACUCCAGUGCUCUGGGAGGGAUCUGAAAAUCCUUCCACGAACAACUGUCAAUCUGCACACAAAAAAGCUGUAUUUCUUACUGUUGUUAGGCAGGGCAACAGAGCAGCUGCAUCUGCACCUUUGGGAAAGUAUAAUUUGGCAUUAGCCAUAAAAUUUACCAGGCACACUGAUGUAAAAUGCUAUAAGCACUUACGGGACAGAAGAUACACCUCUUUAUUAAGCAGACGUGACACGUGCUUAAGAGUGGAAAAAAUUAACAUGAGAUAAUUAGACCAGAACGAGAAUUUAAAAUACUGCACUAAGCCCCUCUAUUUUUCUACUAUGUUACAAAAAAAUCAGCCUCCCGUGUCGAGGCUAUGUGAAUCUUUCAGAUGUAAGGCUUACUGCAGUUGACUUCUACCAACAGAUAUCACAAACUGAAGAUUUGCCUCAGCGAUGCAAAGCUUCCCCAACUCCUGCAUAAAAAACUCUAGCAGAGUCAUAGUCCUUGUGUGUGGAUACAACCCUUUAAUCAGACUGACUGCAAUCCAUCCCUUGCUUUGACAAGUGUUAAAAUUGGGAGGGAAAGGAGGGAGCUCUACAUUUACUGUGCUCAUUUGAAUCAUCCUUCUCUUACAACAGGCCAGACAUGACUCACAGCAAAUGUCAAAGUCAACGAAACCUCGACAUCUUUACUUUUGCUUCCGCCCUUUACAGUUCCUCCCAGAAGUCAUUCCUGGGGGAGUGUCAGAGCAGCAGCCUAACUUACAUCACCAUCUAUUCCCCUUUCCUCCUCCAGUACCCCAAAUGGAACAGGCAUGCUAUCACUAAGCCAACUCAUGUAAUUCUUUAUUCUUUGCAAUUUCCUACCUCUCAUUUGAAAAACAAAUACUUCACUGUUAUCUAAAACUGUAUUAAAACAUUGCCAGCAACUCAGCACUCAAAGCAAAACAACCAUCACCACCCAGCGCGAACGCACAAUAGAAGCAGCAUUUUUGGUACGAAGGCAAAUUUUGAGAGUUCUUGGGAACAGCAAGAAAAAUAGUUCUAGCUACGAAAAGAAAGGGCUGCUCUAAAAACCACCAAGAGAACGCUGCUCUGCCAUCAUGAGACUCAGCCAAACAUAUAGCCCCAGGACAGGGAUGAAAGACUGCACUUUGACAGCAGAGAGCACAUCUAGUAGCAACGCCAGCUUAAGGUAUGCCGAUCCGACCCCCGUGCCAAAACUUGUCUCCCCCCAGUGCAGCUAGCACAACUGCUGUUAGACCAAAUCAAAAGACUCCACCUUAGCUAAGCCAGAAAACAAAAACAAAAAACCCACACGCAAACAAAUCUUGAUAAAAUCUCCUCUCCCCACUGCUGGCUCUCUUCCCUGACCUCGUUCACAGUACCAAACAUUGGCACUAGCACCAGUAAGAGUGACACACAAAACAGAAUGCCCUGAGACAGUGUUGCCAAGCUGUUUGUGAAAGACAUGUCCCCAAGGCAGUGGUUCCACAAAUGAACCUUGGGGCAGAGCCUGGUUGAGCUUUCCCCCAUACCUUCUUUCCACUGGCCAUUCAUUCUCAUCUCUGCACUAUUCAUCCCCACCCGGUAAUGGCCAAAGCAUUGGAGAACUUGGUCACGUCUGAACAGGGUGAAGAAAAGAUCCAUGAUUUGCAAGGGUUACAUUUCCUCCAAAUAUACGCAGUUCCAAUGGACUUCACUCCCUUACGUGAACCUUGCAUCAACACAGCACAGGAAUUCGCAACUAGAGGAAAAACUGAAGAGGUCUCUGUAAUACAAGACAAAGUCUAAAUAAGAAUCCUACACCCAGUGUAUUUUAGGCAGUUGGGGCAGCAGCUUAAGGGAUGUUCCUGCAUUGCAUGCUGCUUCUCUCUACUAAGAAAAAACAGGUGUAACAAUACAGACUGUUCUACACAAAGGUUAAUUUAGAUGACCUAUAACAAUGACAGAACACAGAAGGAACUUGCUUCCUUCUGUCCCAGCUUUGUUUGAUGUACAAACACAUCUUUUGCCUUUCCAAUUUUCCCUCUCCUGUAAAUGCAGCUUCAGGAUUGUAACUGGCAAAUAUAUCUGGUGUUCAAAAACAACCAAAAGAACAGUCAGAGCAAUGCUCAAAAGCUUUAGAAGAGCUCCCUGCAGCAUCUAACCUACAAGUCCGUCAGUCUAGUACAACACAAACUCAAAUAUCCUAUGAACCUGUUCCAACAGGAGUUAAACACAAAUCUCUUCAGUAAGUCAGAGAAUCGUAUUUGCUUUUCAACUCCCUCCACCCCAUCAGCAGCUCGCUGUCAGUUAGUUUUCCUUAUAUUUGCAGGCUAGAAGAGGCAAUAGCAUUUAUUUCAUAGCUGAUGCCUGAAGCCGUGCAGAAAGGCCAGAGCUUCCUCAACUUUAAGACAAAGACCUCUUGUAAUCUUCAAAGCCCACCUGAAAGUAUUUGCAUUGGUGCUCUCAGUAAAACUAUCAGCCCAGUGCAGAGAAGAGUCCCUUUAGCACAGACUAGAAAGUUAACCCUUGGCGAUCAAAGCUGACCUCCCAGUAACACCAGUGAAAUUGAGCUGUACAAUUCCCCAGCUUUUCAGUAUCUAUGUUCCAAUUCAGUUAUCCCUCCUUCAUUUGAAAUACGUGGCUGCAUAUUUUCCAGCAUCUUGUAUUAGCUUAUGUGUAAUUGAAAUAAGGUGAGGAAAUGCUCCACUAAGUUUUGUAUCUGUGUCAAACACUGGGACAAAGAUCUGAAAAAUCCCUUUUCUAUUGAGAAAAGCUAGGAGAAAGAUCUACAUAUCAUGAACAGAGGACCCCAGAACUAAAAAGUAUUAAACUGAAAAUGGAAUUCUUAACCAUUACUCUGGUGUUGUUAUAUAUAGCUGGCAUUUCAACCUUUAUAACUUAGAAAAAAAGUUGAUUUCCUCAUGAUUUUAGACAGCCUUUUCAGACAACAGCAACAAAGUUUAUAACUCGAGGAAAAUCUUUUAAAGUUUGAUUACUUCCGGAUGAUACAGACAUUCAACCCAAAGUUUGCAGAACAUGCCUUAACUACCUUUUCACUACAUUUCUCUGUCAAAGAAAGAGUUAAAACCAGAACAUUUUCAAAUCUGGAGAC